AAUUGGGACCAGUCCACUGCAACUACACAGCAGGCUGCUCAUGCUGGGUAUGAUUACUAUAGUCAACAGGCUCAGCAACAGCAGAAUCCUGGUGGUCCUGCUCCUCCAGCUGAUGGGACUGCUUAUAAUUACAGUCAACAACCUUCCUCUGGUUAUAACCAAUCGGGACAGGGCUAUGGUCAGGAUGGCUAUGGUGCAUAUCAACAACCACCACAAUCAGGGUAUGGUCAGCCAACAUCAUAUGAUCAGCAGCAAGGUUAUGGCUCGGCCCCAAGCUAUGGCUCUGCACAAGAUGGCCAAACUACCAACUAUGGAUCUCAAGGGGAUUCAUCUCAAGUUCCACCUGUCCAACCUUCC
rnacentral:lncRNA from 1 species